ACGUCGCAAGACCAAAGAGGGGGACCUUCGGGCCUCUUGCCAUCAGAUGUGCCCAGAUGGGAUUAGCUUGUUGGUGAGGUAACGGCUCACCAAGGCGACGAUCCCUAGCUGGUCUGAGAGGAUGACCAGCCACACUGGAACUGAGACACGGUCCAGACUCCUACGGGAGGCAGCAGUGGGGAAUAUUGCACAAUGGGCGCAAGCCUGAUGCAGCCAUGCCGCGUGUAUGAAGAAGGCCUUCGGGUUGUAAAGUACUUUCAGCGGGGAGG
rnacentral:rRNA from 1 species